UCCAAGGCUAAAUACUCCUGACUGACCGAUAGUGAACCAGUACCGUGAGGGAAAGGCGAAAAGAACCCCUGUGAGGGGAGUGAAAUAGAUCCUGAAACCGCAUGCAUACAAGCAGUGGGAGCACCUUCGUGGUGUGACUGCGUACCUUUUGUAUAAUGGGUCAGCGACUUAUAUUCAGUAGCGAGGUUAACCGUAUAGGGGAGCCGUAGAGAAAUCGAGUCUUAAUAGGGCGUUUAGUUGCUGGGUAUAGACCCGAAACCAGGCGAUCUAUCCAUGAGCAGGUUGAAGGUUGGGUAACACUAACUGGAGGACCGAACCCACUGUCGUUGAAAAGCCAGGGGAUGACUUGUGGAUAGGGGUGAAAGGCUAAUCAAGCCUGGUGAUAGCUGGUUCUCCCCGAAAGCUAUUUAGGUAGCGCCUCGGACGAAUACCAUAGGGGGUAGAGCACUGUUUCGGCUAGGGGGUCAUCCCGACUUACCAAACCGAUGCAAACUCCGAAUACCUAUGAGUACUAUCCGGGAGACAGACUGCGGGUGCUAACGUCCGUAGUCAAGAGGAAAACAAUCCAGACCGCCAGCUAAGGCCCCAAAAUCAUAGUUAAGUGGGAAACGAUGUGGGAAGGCAUAGACAGCUAGGAGGUUGGCUUAGAAGCAGCCACCCUUUAAAGAAAGCGUAAUAGCUCACUAGUCGAGUCGGCCUGCGCGGAAGAUGUAACGGGGCUAAAACUAUGUGCCGAAGCUGCGGAU
rnacentral:rRNA from 1 species